AGAUCUUGGUCCAGACUUGCCAGAAUUUUUAAUGCUGACACCUAGAUCCUGGUCCAGAGGAAGUUUGGUCUGAAAGCCUGCAUGGUGUUCCAGGUUGGCACAUGGUAUGGCUGGGAAGGUGUGAUAGUCAUACCUAGCCAGUAAGACCAUGAGACUUGAGAGUUACUCUGCCCUUUUAGCAUCAUGUUAGAUGCUGGCAAGCCUUGAGGAACAGCUGGAACAAAUACCCUCACGGCACAUGCAGCAGUGAUGCUCACUGCUUAAAACCUUCUCCCUGCAGGGGUUGAAACAUGUUUGAAAAUUGGAGCCAGUGUGAAGAGGUGCUUUUAAAUCAGGAGCUGUUGUAGUAGUUCUGAUUUACAAGAUGAGUUUGUAUGUGUUAAUGCAGAUGGCUGUUGUUUUGGUGUGCUUAUCAGGCAUUUAUAUGCACUUUUUUUUCCUGUAUGGAGGAGAUGACUCAAAGCAGAGAUUCUGAAGCUAGCUACUGAUCUUGCACAGUACAGUCCAGACACUAGAGAGAAGUGACCUGCCUUGAUUCCUUGAACUUUUGGAUUUUUCCUUUAGUACUCUUCAGCUGUACUUGUUCUCUCCCUUCCUUCUUUGCCUGUGAAGUGGAAAUGUUCCUUAAGCAGGGGAGAGAGCAGUUUCAUACAGAGUGAGUGAUUUUUAGUUCUCCUGUUGAGUUCUAUCACUGUGUGCUGUUGGUUCAGCCUCUGUUCCCUUGGCAAGACUGCACAGCUGAAGGGAAGGUCUAGAGAGAGCUACAAAGGGAAGGUAGGUAUAACAUGUGACAGUCAAAAGACUCAUCACAAGACUCAGCCUUGAGGAAAGUUGGAAGCUUUGGUUGUGAUGCUUUUGCAGUCAGCCAGGAUGUAUCCCAGUGUGUAAUGUUGUCAGGGAUUCCAGUAGUUGAAGAGUACCUUCUAGCCUGAUGUGUCCUGUGACUGUAUCUUUACAAGGGUGCUACUUUGUGUAACUCAGCAUGUUUUAAAAUGCUAAUUUAGUUCUAAUAGCAGCUAUAUAGAACUGAAUUUUACUUUGGUACUGGUGACAAAGUUCCCAAAUUUCUGUUUGCUUUUGGUGCAUGGAAGGUGGAUUGAGAAAUAGCUGUGAGAACACAUUUGUGUGAGGUAGCAGGUAUUUAUUUCACUGUGCUAGCAGGAUCUGCUCUUCUGUUCAACUCUCUUGUGAUGGUUCUGUUCAUUCUAUGUUAAAAAAAAUAAUCCCAGUGUCUUGUUUGUCUCCUGGAUGAGAAAUUUUCAGCCUGUUCACCUUCAGGAAUGCACAGCACUCUUUCUAAAGCACCUUGCAGUGAGUGAGUGAGAAAUGCAAGUUCAUGUCUGCUCCAUCUAGGACUUCAUGUAUGUGAAGGAUCUGAAAGACAGCAGACUUCCAAAAAUCAAGAAGUUCAUGAAUUAAGAGAUGGACAAGACAUUUCUGAUUGGCCCUCAGAUUAUUAGCCCCUUUUGGUCUUUCAGGCUAUGGAAGUGCUGGUGGACAUGGGAAUGGUGAAGGCCAUUGUAGUCUCCAACAAAAAACAAGACAUAUCCUGAGCAAACAGGGCUUAAGACACAAACCUGCAAAUAAUCAGCCCCAAGGAGAAGAGGCUGUGUGAAUAGAUGGGACCAGAGCCAGGCUGUAGUGCUGGGAGGAAUAGGUAAGACUGGGUG